UUUGAGUGAGUGGCGAACUGGUGAGUAACACGUGGGAAACCUGCCCAGAAGCGGGGGAUAACACCUGGAAACAGAUGCUAAUACCGCAUAACAACUUGGACCGCAUGGUCCGAGCUUGAAAGAUGGCUUCGGCUAUCACUUUUGGAUGGUCCCGCGGCGUAUUAGCUAGAUGGUGGGGUAACGGCUCACCAUGGCAAUGAUACGUAGCCGACCUGAGAGGGUAAUCGGCCACAUUGGGACUGAGACACGGCCCAAACUCCUACGGGAGGCAGCAGUAGGGAAUCUUCCACAAUGGACGAAAGUCUGAUGGAGCAACGCCGCGUGAGUGAAGAAGGGUUUCGGCUCGUAAAACUCUGUUGUUAAAGAAGAACAUAUCUGAGAGUAACUGUUCAGGUAUUGACGGUAUUUAACCAGAAAGCCACGGCUAACUACGUGCCAGCAGCCGCGGUAAUACGUAGGUGGCAAGCGUUGUCCGGAUUUAUUGGGCGUAGAGCGAGCGCAGGCGGUUUUUUAAGUCUGAUGUGAAAGCCUUCGGCUCAACCGAAGAAGUGCAUCGGAAACUGGGAAACUUGAGUGCAGAAGAGGACAGUGGAACUCCAUGUGUAGCGGUGGAAUGCGUAGAUAUAUGGAAGAACACCAGUGGCGAAGGCGGCUGUCUGGUCUGUAACUGACGCUGAGGCUCGAAAGUAUGGGUAGCAAACAGGAUUAGAUACCCUGGUAGUCCAUACCGUAAACGAUGAAUGCUAAGUGUUGGAGGGUUUCCGCCCUUCAGUGCUGCAGCUAACGCAUUAAGCAUUCCGCCUGGGGGAGUACGGCCGCAAG
rnacentral:rRNA from 1 species